GCUCUCUCUGUUCCAUGUUUGUGCUUUAGGCGCAAGCGCUCAGCUUCCUGCUCCCGCCUGACCCUUGCCUCUUGCUGCCCCACUUCCCUGCUUUUGCCGACUCAUCCAACUGGAGCUGAGUUCAAAGAAGCCCUUCCUUCUACACGCCAAGGAUCUGGGCCUCCGAACUCAGACCUGCGGGGAACACCAUUUUCUAAGGACGGUGCUGUCUAAAUACUUUCAUGUACACUUCUGUAAGACUCGACCUGAGUCUUAAUUUCUAGGAGACCCACGUGAAUGAGAUGUGAGACCAGAGACCGAAGCAAUAGCUAGAGGAUCAGUAUUAUUCCAGCAAGCUCACGAGGAGAGGCGACCCCAAACAAUCCAUACUUAGUUUCUUCAGUCUCCAAACAGUGGAUCUUACUAAUGAAGGGCAAGGGGAAAGCCACUGAAGAACAAAGUGUCCAUAAUGAUCACCCAGAUCAAGAUGCACAGCUAGCCCAGUUCUAAGAGUGGACUGACUGUAGGUGUUGACUUUGCAGCCAUAGGAUUCAAACUCAGGGCCCUCUGCAGGCGAGGCAAGUGCUAUACACAACCCUCACUGCAGCCAGUUGACCACUUGCCGGCCUCCUUUCAAUCUGUCAAAUCAUCUGGACAACCUAAGAAAGUUACCAUUUCGGAGGACUAAAAGAAAAAUCAUCUCAUGAUUCCCAGAGAACUCUUUUGUUGCCAUAAACAGCGUGCACAAACAGACGCGUCCAUCUGCUCUCUUAAAUACUAUUUCAACAGCAGUAGCUAACAGUGUUAUGUUAACAUUUUAGAAAUUUUCAAGUUGAAAAUAAACCGGGGAAUCAAA